UUUGUUGUCCGUCUGCUUGUUCUUCCUCAGAUCAAAGAGAAUUUAACACGAUCCUUAAGAAGAUUGUCACGGGUGCAGUUUUUUCAACGAGAUAAAAAGAAGUGGAAUGCAUCCACAACCACCCAAGUUUCCAUUGUUGAUUUACUGAGCAGGAGGGAAAAUUACAACAAGCAUCGCUCCAGUAUUCUGCCUGGACAGAGGAUCAACGCACUUGAAACUAAACUGUAAAAUACAAUUGAACGUUUUCCUAAUCCAAACAAUAGGCCACACGCACAUGGCAAAGGUGGUAGUGAUAUCAAGGAAAUGAAAAUAAUAAGAGCCAAAACCUAUAACACUCAGUCGAAGUAGAGCCAAUUGAGUAAUCAUUUAUCAUGUUUUCAAAUCAUUACGCUCGUAAUCUAAGAGCUUAUUCAAGCAACGGCAAAACCACCAUAUAAAAUGAUUAUCGUGACUUGUACACUAUUGCUAAAUAAUCAAGCAGCUUAAGCAUGGCACGGCCGACAAACGCCUUCUGAAAAUGUAAAUUUAUGUUCUGCAACCAUUUCGUGAUUAUUCCAAUUUAUUUGACUUGCAAAACGUGUCCUUGCGAUCCUGGUAUUACAUUGGUAUGAGCGGUUUGGAGAACAGAAGAAAAAAA